UACGUAGGGGGCAAGCGUUAUCCGGAUUUACUGGGUGUAAAGGGAGCGCAGGCGGUGCGGCAAGUCUGAAGUGAAAACCCCAGGCUCAACUUGGGGAUUGCUUUGGAAACUGUCGGACUAGAGUGUGGGAGAGGCAGGCGGAAUUCCUAGUGUAGCGGUGAAAUGCGUAGAUAUUAGGAGGAACACCAGUGGCGAAGGCGGCCUGCUGGACCAAGACUGACGCUGAGGCUCGAAAGCGUGGGGAGCAAACAGGAUUAGAUACCCCCAGUAGU
rnacentral:rRNA from 1 species